UACGUAGGGUGCGAGCGUUGUCCGGAAUUAUUGGGCGUAAAGAGCUCGUAGGCAGCUUGUCACGUCGGGUGUGAAAGCCCGGGGCUUAACCCCGGGUCUGCAUUCGAUACGGGCAGGCUUGAGUGUGGUAGGGGAGAUCGGAAUUCCUGGUGUAGCGGUGAAAUGCGCAGAUAUCAGGAGGAACACCGGUGGCGAAGGCGGAUCUCUGGGCCAUUACUGACGCUGAGGAGCGAAAGCGUGGGGAGCGAACAGG
rnacentral:rRNA from 1 species